rnacentral:rRNA from 1 species
AAUCUUGGGCAAUGGGCGAAAGCCUGAUCCAGCCAUGCCGCGCGAGUGAUGAAGGCCCUGGGGUUGUAAAGCCCUUCCAGUGGGGAAGAGAAUGACGGUACCCACAGAAGAUGCCCCGGCUAACUUCGUGCCAGCACCCUCGGUCAUACGAAGGGGGCUAGCGUCGUUCGGAAUUAUCGGGCUGAAAGCGCGCGUAGGCGGAUCGGUCAGUUAGGGGUGAAAUCCCGGGGCUCAACCCCGGAACUGCCUUUAAUACUGCCGGUCUUGAGUUCGGGAGAGGUGAGUGGAAUUCCGAGUGUAGAGGUGAAAUUCGUAGAUAUUCGGAGGAACACCAGUGGCGAAGGCGGCUCACUGGCCCGAUACUGACGCUGAGGUGCGAAAGCGUGGGGAGCAAAC